ACUCCUACGGGAGGCAGCAGUAGGGAAUAUUGGUCAAUGGGCGAAAGCCUGAACCAGCCAUGCCGCGUGUCAGAUGAAGGUCCUCUGGAUUGUAAAUGUACUUUUCUACGGGAAGAAUGAGCCGUCUGCGGACGGAAGUUGACGGUACCGUAGGAAUAAGCACCGGCUAACUACGUGCCAGCAGCCGCGGUAAUACGUAGGGUGCAAGCGUUGUCCGGAUUUACUGGGUUUAAAGGGUACGUAGGCGGUUGUGCCAAGUCUGGGGUGAAAGUUUGCAGCUCAACUGUAAAAUUGCCUUGGAUACUGGUCGGCUAGAGUAGUGGAGCGGUGGCUGGAAUUUAUAGUGUAGCGGUGAAAUGCUUAGAUACUAUGAGGAACACCAAUUGCGAAGGCAGGUCACUGGUCACUAACUGACGCUGAGGUACGAAAGUGUGGGAUCAAACAGGAUUAGAUACCC
rnacentral:rRNA from 1 species